rnacentral:lncRNA from 1 species
UAGUACAACAAAGAUGUACAAUUUCACUAGGACGAAUCAACAUGGGCACCGACGCAGCAAUUCAAAACAUUUCAAAAACAGGAUCAGCACCCAGCGGAGAUACUAUACACGUUCCUCGAUCCAUUCAGACUACCAACACAGCACAUUCCAGUGACCGGCUAACACUGUAGACGACUACCGACACAGGGAAAAAUGUCAUCGUGCAAGAGAGAUUAGCUGCACCUUCGUCAUUCAGAACUCCGCUUCGGGAGGAGCCCGGUAAUACGCGGGGACGGUAGCAGGGAAGAACAUUUGCCU